AAGAAUCCAAUAAGGUGUUAGAAGAUCCCAGCCCAAAAAUCACCAUUGGACUUGAAAUCGCGUGAAGAGUGCGUGAGGGCAGAUUCUGCUGCAGAAAACCAGGAUAAAGCCUGAAGGAGGAAGUGCACCUGAGAAUGAGCAUGUGUGCAAGCAUUUGGAAGGGAGCCCAUCAGCCCCAUUGAGAACAGACUCCAGUCCUAGCAAGGGAAGCCUGGGUGGUGUGUGUGACACUCCUUGAAUGAUAUUGUUCAGAAAUGCCUGUUUUCUUUCUUUUAGCUGAACUGGCAG